rnacentral:rRNA from 1 species
GUGGGGAAUUUUGGACAAUGGGCGAAAGCCUGAUCCAGCCAUGCCGCGUGCAGGAUGAAGGCCUUCGGGUUGUAAACUGCUUUUGUACGGAACGAAAAGACUCCUUCUAAUAAAGGGGGUCCAUGACGGUACCGUAAGAAUAAGCACCGGCUAACUACGUGCCAGCAGCCGCGGUAAUACGUAGGGUGCAAGCGUUAAUCGGAAUUACUGGGCGUAAAGCGUGCACAGGCGGUUAUAUAAGACAGAUGUGAAAUCCCCGGGCUCAACCUGGGAACUGCAUUUGUGACUGUAUAGGUAGAGUACGGUAGAGGGGGAUGGAAUUCCGCGUGUAGCAGUGAAAUGCGUCGAUAUGCGGAGGAACACCGAUGGCGAAGGCAAUCCCCUGGACCUGUACUGACGCUCAUGCACGAAAGCGUGGGGAGCAAACAGGAUUAGAAACCCUUGUAGUCC